rnacentral:rRNA from 4 species
AAUGCGACCCCAGGUCAGGC